AUUGAACGCUGGCGGCAUGCCUUACACAUGCGAGUCGAACGGCAGCAUGAUCUAGCUUGCUAGAUUGAUGGCGAGUGGCGAACGGGUGAGUAAUACAUCGGAACGUGCCCUGUAGUGGGGGAUAACUAGUCGAAAGAUUAGCUAAUACCGCAUACGACCUGAGGGUGAAAGUGGGGGACCGCAAGGCCUCAUGCUAUAGGAGCGGCCGAUGUCUGAUUAGCUAGUUGGUGGGGUAAAGGCCCACCAAGGCGACGAUCAGUAGCUGGUCUGAGAGGACGAUCAGCCACACUGGGACUGAGACACGGCCCAGACUCCUACGGGAGGCAGCAGUGGGGAAUUUUGGACAAUGGGGGCAACCCUGAUCCAGCAAUGCCGCGUGUGUGAAGAAGGCCUUCGGGUUGUAAAGCACUUUUGUCCGGAAAGAAAUCGCACUUACUAAUAUUAGGUGUGGAUGACGGUACCGGAAGAAUAAGGACCGGCUAACUACGUG
rnacentral:rRNA from 1 species